GCAGACUUUUAAAAGGUGGGUUCUUCUUCCCUUCGUGUAUUUCCCCCUUAAUUACUUUUGUAGGAUUUUGGGAGCUAUAUGUGAAUGAUAUUUUGCCUUUUGUUGUAAUUCUCAGCUGCUGCUAGUAUUGAUAUAGAUGAGUUGGUAGUUAGAUACUUGAAAUAAUCUUAUUGUAGGUUGAUUUGUUUGUUUGCUAAAGCUUAAUAGCACCUGGAGCUGCAAGCUCUUUUAAUCUAGUGAGAUUAUGAGCCACGGAUAAGAAAGAAUUUCACUUUCUUAGUUGUCAAAUAGGAAACAGGGUUUGAG
rnacentral:misc_RNA from 1 species